rnacentral:rRNA from 1 species
GGGUGAAAUUUGGUAUUAUAGAGUAGUUAAUUAUAGGGGGGAGAGGGGCGUAGUUGUUGAUUUCAUGAUAUAGACCAGAAUUAGAUACUCUGUUAUACGUGAAGGAGAAUAAGGAAGAGGGACUUGAGUAGUAAACAGUUAUGGGCUUGAAAUUCAAAGAAUUUGGCGGUAUCUAAGUCCGGUUAGAGGAGCUUGUGCUGUAAUCGAUAAACCGCGAAUAUUUUUCCUUGUCUUGUAGCAUCAGUUUGUAUACCGCCAUUAUUANAUAACUUUUUAAGGGGGAUUAUUGUGAUAGUUUUAGAUGUUGAUAUAUUAGGUCAAGGUGCAGCUUAUGAUAAGGGUUGUUGUGGGCUACAAUUUAGUUUAUGGAGUACGGAUAUAAGACUUGUAAUAGUUUUUUGAAGGUGGAUUUAAUAGUAAGUUGAGUACAUCAAACUUGGCUGGCAGGGGCUCUUAGAUAUGUACACAUCGCCCGUCGUUCUCAUUAUAAAGUGA